UAUGGCCAUAUCACAUUGAAACAUUGGUUCUCAUCUGAUCAGCAAAGUUCAGCAAUGCUGAGCCUGGUCAGUACCUAGAUGUGUGACCAUUUGUAAAUACCAGGUGCUAU